AUAAUAAUGGGUGGUAACGGUUUGGCCGGGGGGCCCCCGCUCCGCUCUCCGUGCGUGUGUGACCAGCUGCUGCAGUCUAUAUAAGGAAUUACAUUUACAUUUCAGACUUAGGGGCUGCUGUGGGGUGGUGUUUUUUCCCCUUUGGUACGUGUGUUACUUUAAGAUGCAAUGGGAAGGUACACGGCGGGGGGAAUAAAGACUCGUAACACCCACUCUCUACUUAUUUUCUGGAAAAUGGAGAAGUAGUUCGGUCCUCGUAGCACGACUCUUCGGAAUAGGAUGUAGACUAGGCGAUUUUGUAACCCUCCUUGGCAAUUUUGGGUUUUAUGUGGCAUUUCCUGUGCAGGGUCACAGAUAGGAAGGCUUUGCCUGCCAUCUGAGAUGUUUUCAUAUGCAGUGAACAGUCUCCGAAAUAGAUCGGAGUCACGAUCGGUGCUUCACCUCUCUAAUCCUGACUGUUCAGGGCGUAAGGUGGUGAUAAAUGACGGCCUUUCCAGGGGCUAACGGGUUGGUUUGAUUGUGUUGAACUUAAAAGGGUUUUCUUAUUUUUGCUGUGUGUGUUUUCUAGCAAGUGUUCUUAUUUGCACGCUCGUAUUAUUAAUUCCUUGUCCUAAUGUAAAUAUUUAUAUUUAGCUCAUGAUUUGGCUGUGCUAAAGGUAAGUUUGGAAAGUGCUUUUCUCUUUACCUUAUUAAAAAUGUGGAUGAUUAGAGAAAGGGGCUUUUCUUGUUGCUGACGACAACAUGUGUGACAUGUGAGUCUGAAACCACCCAGCGUCUGUGCAGGAGCUGUAAACAUGUUUACCUGAACAGGAAAGAAAAUGGAUUUUUCUCUUAAAGAUCCAGUGAUGUGAAUACUAUACUCUUAAAGCAUAUCAACAGAUGCCUUGAGAGAGAAAUUUUCUGAAAACCUGGCUUUUGAAAUCGACGGGAAAAAAAGAUCCUUGAUUGCUGCAGCAAAUGGCAACUUGUGCAGGUAGAAAAAAAAGAUGGUGUUUAGUUUUCUCCUGCAUGCAUGUCAGCCCCCUCCUGUCUGCUGCUUUCAUUCUCAAGGGAGGGAUUUAUUUACCACGCUUGCUGUCAGUGUUUUUCCUUUGUGCUUAAUAUUAGAAAACCAGAUUUAAGGCUGUUUAGCACAAACCGUUUUGUCCGCAGCGUGUAUCACUUGCAGAAAACAAAAGGUGUAUAAGAUGUGGUAUCAUUCCAGGUAUCUUUCAUCUUCAUCACUUUUGGACCUCAUAGCUGCACCCCCUUUAUUAUAAAAAGCCUCUGAUUCUUUAUCAACUAGUUCUGCAAUGUAAAAUGUAGUGUGUCUUGGUUUAGGCUGGUUUUGGCUCCUUUUAUUGAGGAAUUAAAACCAACUUAAGUCAUUGUGCAUCGGAGCAUCGGGAUUGGUUAGAUAAUAGAAUCUGGAUAAUAGAGAUUUCUCAGCAGUGGGUUUAUGUUUGACUUGCAAAUAUUUACUGAAGAAAAUGCAUAGAAAAAAUGUUAACCCUUUAACCUUUAAAAUAAAUAAGUAUGAGGCUUUUUUUUUCUCAAAGUCUUUAAAUGCACUUGGUUCUUAGAGAUAUCUUCUGUUAAUGAGGAAUGGGCAUAGGGGAGAUGCAUAAACAACUGGCUUGUUUGUAAGAAACAAAAGCAUUUUUAUGCUGUUUCCUCUCUAGAUUCCCACAGAAUAGGAGAUUAUUACAGAGAGAUUGCACUAAACAUCCAGUGUGCCAGUUAAUGAUACUGGGCUAUGGCAUUGAGUUAUUAUACUGUAAACUUUUCUUCUUUUUACCUCUUGUAAAAAACUUAAUAUAGCUAUUCUUACACUCUAAACUUUUGUUUUGUUUUUUUUCUUUAUUUUCCCUGCUUUCUCUCUGUGUUUGGGAGCCAUCCUGGUUCAUUAACUUAUCUGGAAAGACAGUCUUACCUUCUUAACUCUAGAGCUGGUUCCUUUUCUACCUUGUUUAUUGCUCCCUAUGGGAGAUCAGCAAAGAGCCGAUUGGUGCUGCCGUUAAAGCCUCCACUUACAAGGAAAUCUGGCACUUCCUACCUGAAGAAAACUACCCUGUGUCAUUGUCCUUAGUUCUGGCCAAUACACAAAAACAUCUGCUACAGCAGAACAGUUAACAAAGUGUUGAGAUAAUGUGAUACAGCAGAAACACAGCACUGGUAGGAAGUCUCUCAUCCUAUCUACUUCUUCCCCUUCUCCUCCUCUUUUGAUAGAAAAAUGAAGAGGAGGAAAAAGACACGGCUUGAGUAUUUUUUGCCGGUCAUCUGCAUAGCCACGCUCUUGUGAGACUCCUGUGUAGACUUCAAAUAGAUUCAGUAUCAGCAAAGGUUUUCUUAUUCUGAGUUAGUUUGCAGUCAGGAUUAAUUGCUUUCUUAGCUUCUCUCAUGUAUGUUAUGGGAUUGUCUCAGUUCUUGCUAAACAUCAAAACUAAAAGUGACACCUCUUGUUCUUCAGUAAUGCUGUGAGAUAAGUAAAACAAACAAAAUAUUUAAAACUUUCCUUCCAAGAGUAUAAAAAGAUAUCAACCUUAAGUAUCGAUGUUCUGAAAAUAAUGCAAGUAUGCCUUCAUGUUUUCACAUGCAUAUUUAAUGGUAAAAAGAAGAAUGUUUGAGUAAAUUCUGCACGCUGUCAGGUACAUGUGAGGAGAAGGUAUAAAUAAGCCGGCCUUGGUCACAGUGAGUUCAUUACCAAAAGGUUAUGUAAAUUGACUCAUUAGAGUGCUAUUUCAGUUGCUUUACAGUUGAUGCUCCUCUCUUUUUAUUUCUGUUAGAUAACAAUUUCAUAUAAAAUUUUGCUACUAAGCUCAGAACUGUAAGAAAGGCCCUUUGAAUAUGGCAAAAGCAUAUUUCUUUUAGCUCCAAGGUGUUAACUACUGGAAGGGUGUCAGGUGUUAGUGACACUUGGGAUACAGCAUUCCUGGUUGUGCCAGUCUUCUCUUGCCCCUUGCCUUUCUUUUUUGCUAGGUAUCAUGUUUUCACUCUAGUGUUAAUUUAAAUUUGCAAUUUGGGAUUUGUGGAAUGUAGCCUGAGUUAAAAUUCCAGGCACAGUGAACAGGUCUACACAGACAAUUGAAUUAACUGUUUGAGACCAAGGAAACCUUCUCUCUUAAAAACAAGUAGUACUUCUGUUUUAAUGUUAGCUAUUGAAAUAUAAUGUAGUUCUCUUAAAAAGGUCACUAUCUCUUAAUUUCUCUGUCAGUUGUAAAGCAGGGUGUCUUAAGGUAAUUAACUACCUGAAGGAGCUGGGGUUUUUUUUAAGGUAAUUUGUUUCCUGAAACAGUUUGCCUUGCUUGUAGGGCUCUGUGUGUAUGCUGCUGUGAAAGGGUUAAUGAAAAGUAGUGAUAAGAUGAAACUUUUCUUCUGUCGUGGGCUUCUCACUCAUAGAAAUCACUCAGUUUCUUUAGUUAGAAGUCUGAGGAUGUGACUUCUUUGAAUUCAGUCCAAAUUUUCUGUUGAAUAUUUUUAGUUACAUCAGAUAGUCUCAGUGGGGAGGGGUUUCUGUGGACUCUGGGCUUUAUGACAGGUCCUGUUAAUUGGUGUUACUGACUUUGGUUGGGCUCUUGCUCUCUGUAAGCAGCUUCUCUGUGGACGGAGCAGGAAGAAGGGGUUCUACAGCUGUUCCCUGCUUCCUUCCCCACUGAGACUCCACUUGUGGUAUUAACCUGUAAUUUCUUCUUGUAGAAGUUUUCCAGUGCUGGGGGGAGAAGCUGAAGCACUCUGAAGUCAAAAUAUCACUAUAAUACCUUUACUCAUGUGGAAACAUCAGUUUUAAUAGAGUUUAAAAUGCCAUUGAGGAAUGGUAGACAUUUUUAACGUGUGUAAGACUCUGUAUUACUAUGGUGAAGAAAUAAAAUUAACUUCUGUGAAACUUGGGUUGUAGGUUUUUUGCUUGUUGAGGUUUUUUAACUGAUUUUUGAUCAUCUUCUCUCUAUUGCAGAGAAACUGCUGGAACUGUCUUAUCUGGCCAAAUGCCUCUUAAGCAUCCCUGCUUCUAAAUUCAGUCAUUAUUAUUUACUAAAAAUAUAAACUCACUGCUCUCAAGUCAUUAGCUGUUUGUAGUCACUUCACAAACAUUUAACUAAUUGAUGUUGGAAGCUGAAUGGAGUAAGUGUGCUUUGUCAACUGUAAACCCAAUCUUUAACAGUACAUACUGUAUCUCUGGAAAUCAUAAGGAUUCUAUGCAUAAUAGGUUUCAAAUACCAACAAGUAGGGUUUGAAAACCAAAAAUUACUCUGUUUUAUGUAGGCUUUCGUACCAUAUUGCCAAGUAUAGUUCCAGGUUAACUUUCAGCUGAUUAACAUCAAUAUUUCUGAAUUUUUGGUGGUUGUUACCUGCAUUUUUCAAGAAGACUCACACAUAGGAUCUUUUCUGUUUUGGAUAAGUAAGCAGAACCCUGUCUUUCAUUUGUGGUCUCAGAAACAUUGGUGCUUCAUUCUGGAAGCUAUAAUAGGCCUGUUAUUUGUGAGAACUAAAUUCUCAAGUGACUUACCCAAGGUCACACAGGAAGUCCAUAGCAAGACUCAGUCUCAAUCCAUUUUUAAUCCUCAGGACUACCCUUGCAUUUGGCUUGAUCUAGAGCCUUAAAGGGAAAGAAUAGUUUUGUCAUUUGGUAGUUACUAUUCCUUUCAGCUUAAUUGUUUAAGUUCUUUCAUAUUUAUUGGAAUAUUUUUGCUUUCAGCAAACAAGUGGCAAGAAGCAAAACUCAAUUUUGUCUUUAGCUAUUUUUGGAUGGUAUUAAGAUAGCAUUUUUACUGGUGAUGUUUCCUGUCUUCAUAGUCUAUGAAAUGAUGUACCAGAGAAGUAGAAUGUUGUCUUCUGGUGUGUUUUGUAUUCCCAAAUCUUAAGUUCAGUGAUGCAAGGGUCGACAAAAAUAAAUCACAUCAGGAGGGAAUUAGUUAAAGACUGCAUUGACAUCAACACCCCUGCUGGGAUGUGGAGAGUUUUAAAGAGGGCUGUUUUCUUGGAGUUUAACAUCUGGGCAGAAAUUAUUUCAUCAGAUGUUGCUUUUGUUGUGACAGUAAUGACUGAAGAAUGGUCUCAGUGUAUUACUGGUAUUUCUAAUAUUUGAAAAUGGUAAGUUGGUAAAAAAGCAUAAGUCCUCCUCAAAACAAAAAUUUCCCAGAAACAUGUGUCAGGCCUGGGUAAGUCAAACACAUGCAGGUCUGGGUUUUACCACCACAGCUGUUUGUCACAGGUGGAGCUGUGUGGGAAGUGGCUGUGGGUGCAGGUGGGUGCUGCUCCUGCCUGGGCAGCGUGAGGCAAAGGUGGGUGUAAAGAGUGUUCUCAUAUCUUCAUUUGUGAAGAUGUGUGGUUAGCUCCAGUCAUGAGAUGCUGCAAUACAUCAGUUUGGGUAGGGAUUCUUUCCUGCUGAGGGAAAUGCUAUUUGAAGUCUUCAGUUAAAAAAAAUAAAAAUAAAACAUGGACAAACCCCUAAGCAAAGGUUGGAGAGCAGAGGAUUGUAUGCAUGAAUGCUGGAUGGGUGAGGCAAAGCCUCAAGUGUAUGGGGAAGGAGGGAGAGUGGAAUAGGUAGGGGAGCAGUGUGUUUCUCACUGAAGGUCUGAUACCUGAUUUGUGAUGCACCUUGCUGGCCUUCCAGGGAGGAAUGUAUUUGUCUGCUGCAUGGGAAGAACACAGCAGUAAAUAGCUUUGACCUCAGUUGGCUGGGUGAUGCCUUGAAAUACUGGAAUUGUUGAGUUCUGUAGGGGGCUUCAUGAAUGUAUUGUUUUGUAAUGCUUUCUACUUCCAUGUUAUGUUGGCAAGUUUUUUAAACCUUUUAUAAGUCAUCACCUCCAACACUCUUUGUUGUUGUUUUUUUUUUUAGCUAAAUAUUAUGGGCUCAUUUAUGUCUAAGUCAUGCUUGCUUUUCUGGUUGUCCAGUUCCUUGCAUCUUAUUUUAUUGUUGUUGGCAAAAGUAACAAAAACUUGAUAUUUUAAAAAACUGUUCACAGUUGCAACUUUCUAACCUUUGUGACCAUUUCUUUUAAGGAAAGAGUGGAGUUGCUUUUAUUUUUCCUAUUGUUUAUUUAAUAUAUUUAUUUUAAAUAUGUUUAUUUAAUAAUCUAUUUAUCUCUUUCUUGCAUAGAUAAAUAAUAUUCCUGAGUGACAGCCAAGGAGAAUGGGAAGCCCAGUCAAGAGCAGUGAGACUUGAUGGAUAAAAUACUAACUCCAGUUAAAUGCAGCAUAGCUUUAUAAAUUUAUUUCAGUACUCCUGAGAAAAAUACUACUUCCAUCACACAGCAUGUAAGCAUCUUUCAGGCAGUAAAAAUGUAUGUACUGAGUCUUCCUGUAUCUUGGCCUGUACAUCCAAUUCCUUAUGUAAGUACCUGGCAGCUUAUAUUCAUAUGUUAAGAGGAUAGGUGAUGGUAUAGUAGAAAGAAGAAACUUCUUAAAUUUUUAUCUGUGUGUGGAGCAGCAGAAUUCAGAUGUUUCAGUUGGGUAGUGCUGAACAUAUUAACUGGGUUUCUUUAGACUUGUACAUUUGUCCCCAGAAGGGACAGUAGAGAAGAAAGGAGCCUUUUCUACUUUGCCUCACUCUUAUUGUCUCAGAAACCAUUACUGUAAUGUAACUAUAUCUUUUAUUUUAACAUGCUUUUUCAGAGCAACAGAAGUUAACUAAAAAUAUGCUUUCUCAUUUUUGAGAAGUCAGUACUAUUUGAAAGCAGCCUGUUUCAGUUCUCUCCUUUUCAGCUGUCAUUCCCAGCUGUCACAAUCUCCUUGAUGUGAGGACUUUACCCCCGUUGUUUCAAAGAAGUUUGGUUAACAGCUGCUGUCACCCAAAGGUUAAAACCUGAAAAUGGGCAUCCUUUAUUGGCUUCCUUACAAAUAUUUGGUUUCUGUUUGGUAGCAUCUUUCUUGUUGCUCUCCGUUCAAUGUGUUCCAUUGAUCCUAUUUUUGGAGAACUGUGUAAAGCAAAUGAACAUGUCUAACGAUGAAUGUAUUCUUUGGGAUGUGGUAAGGUGCUUAAUUAUAACUGAAAAAGAGAGCAAAAAAAAUUCUUUGCUGUGCUGAGAUGACAUUGCAUCCUGUUCACUUAGUAUCUGUGAAUAUGAGUAGCAGCUCUUCAGUGAAAGGACAUGUAAAAUUAGUUCUUUAAACACCAAGAACCCUCUAUGAUAUUGGAGUGUAUCAGAAAGAAAAGAAACAACUGUUCCUUAACUAACUGCAUGGUAUACUGUACUUCUUUUGAUGCAGAUAUCCUCUCUUUCUGCAACUCCUCGGUUCUUUAGCUUCUCACAGGUCAAGUGAUAGAUCAGGAACACUGGAGGAGCUGGCAAGAUCAUUGGAGAUAAGCAUCAAUCCACAGAUGUGUAUAUGGAAGAAGGCAAAAUGAUAUUACAAAACAUCACAAAUGCAGCACAAUUUGAAAAAAAGGCCUGGGGAAAUCUAUUCCAUCUGAAAAAAGGGCAAAAUAAAGAACAGAAAAAUCUUGUCUUAACUACAAGACUUAAGUUGAUUUUUGUUGAACUGGUACAUCCCUAAAGAAGCAGGUUGAGCUUUUUAUUUGUCUGUUUUCCUAACACCUUCCUCCUCACCUGAGCUAACAUAAUUUUUAUUAAUGCCCAGAAGCAUCAGGGAGAUGAUUUGUCCCUUUUUCUAAGAUGCACUUGUCUUCAAACAGUUUUUCUUAAUGCCUUGAGGUAUUUUUGCCUUGUGUGCUUCCAGGUAUGUAUCAGAUUUUCCUUCUUCAUACCUUCUAGUCCAUUUUAUAAUUGCUCUUUAGUUCCUGUAAGCUAUUUACUGCAAGUCAUGUUAAGUCUUAGACUGGAAAAGGAGAUACUGUUCAGAAUCUGUAACCUGGUUAAUUUUCCAUCUUGUUUUAUAUCUUUCCAUAGCCUUUUCUUUUCUUCGCAGUAUUUCUGGCACAGCUAUUUGGUUAAGUCAAGCAAAAUAGAACCAAUCUCACACUACUGGAUUCAUUCUUAUGCUAUUGUUCACAGGAAGGACCUAGGUACAGUUUGCCUGGUAAAGAGCAUGAGGUGGUGAAUAAGGACUUUGAAGCAGAUUUGGAGCUGUAAUGACUGGCUUCCUUCCCUGCUGCUGUCCCUUCCCCUUCCUUGCUAAGCAUUUUCAUUUGAAAUACUAAGGUGUGGUCAUCGGGCAUAGCUGUUCUCAACUUCCAGUAAUUUUUUGCUCACUACUGAGCUGCACCAUAAUUACAUAUGCAAAUGUAGUAAUUUUUUUUCCCUUCUUACCUUGUACAUGUGGAAAAGGAAGAUAAGGUUGCAGAGUUCUGUCGGGGAGGUGCUGCUAUUGAGGAGGUACUGCAGAUGGCUGCAGGAGACAAGUACUGGACCUGCAGGACAAGGCUCAGCAGGGGAUUUCAGAACUUCCAAUAUCUGAAAGGCAACAAGAAAACAGUCUUCUUGCCAACUUUAGAUAGGAUCAGAUUGUAGGAUGGCUUGUUGUAACCGCCUGUUUUGAUACAUUCUAGCUACUGAGUGCUGAAAGUUAAUUUGCAUUUCCAGUAUGGAUUUGUUUUGUAGACAUAUGUGAAUCUACAUCUAUCUAUGUAUGUAUAUCUGUAGUUAAAUCCAAUAAUUUCAUCUUUUAGACUGGCUUGGAUGCUCCCAGUAGUAACACAAGGUAGACUUCUGUUCAUAAGUGUUGUAAUGAUAGUAAAACCACAGAGACGAAUUCUGUAGAACGGUCUAUUCUGACAAUUUCUGCCCUUCAUGGUAAGGCUUACCUUGUACAUUUUCCAGAUUUGGAAGUGACGUACUGUAUUCCUGGAACACUGAAUGUGAUUUUGAGCAAAUAUUGGAAGAUGGAAUUGGUUCUAUAGUGCAAUCAGAAUGCUGUGAGGCUUUCUGCACAAAAGUGAAAUAAUACCUUAGAAAUGAGAAGCAGAAUUUAAUUGGUAGUUGUGGCAUAGGAAAGGGGAAAUAGUUCCAGUGACACAUCACGCAGGAUAACAUGCCAUAGUUCUGUUUCACCACGUGAUUAAUCUCGCCUGCAUAGUUCAUGUAGUAGUUAUGUGAUGGAGACUGACACCUUAAAAAGAUGAGCCUGGCUUUUUCCUCAGCAUGUGAGUGAAUAAAACUAGUGGCAGAUUCUCCAUUUCUGUGAGGUAAGCCAGUUCACAAAAGGAGAAUUUUAACUUUCCAACUGUAAAGGAUACAAAUAAACCUAGUCAAAUAAAAAUCAUCAGACACAGCAGGGGUUUAUGAUCCUGACAGAAAAUUCUUACGAGAUGUCUGAUGCAAACUGCUGUCUGUGGAUCUGAUGCUUCAAAAAUAUUUUUGGCAGUAGUGCUUGUGACAGUGCUAAGAUGCUUUCCUUCAGAAGUGAAAUAAAGUAGGGUGGUUAAGAACUCCAGUAUAUACGGGUAUUUUCUUUUCUUUAGAAGUUGCAAGCCUUCGCCAUGUAUUUAUGUCACAUGCCUGGAAAAAAGUAAUUUAAAAAUUCCUUGUUGUGAAAAAAACAAAUGCAAUUAAAUUAUUUGCAUACAGAUGCAAAUCAUUUAAUUGCAUUUGUUUUUUUCAUGUGUAUGGUGUCACAAUACUUUGGCAUAUAGAAAAUAUAUACAGCUUUUGAGAAAAGAGUGAGUUUUUUUUUGAGUUGGUUAAAAACCAGAAGAGCUGAAAUUGGAAGGUUGUAAAAUGUCUUGUUCUAAUAGUUUACAGUUUCCUGUAUUUAGCUCUUGUUUCAUCUUUCUGAAUUUUGAUAAUAUUUUAAGCAUUUUGAAGGUCUCAUAUUCCAAAUUCUCAGAACAAAAAUGUUUGUGACUUUUCAAGUUCCAAGGUGUUCUCUUGCUGUGUAAAGUCUCCCAGGUUUGUGCCUUAAUGUGUCUUAAUAGGCAUCCUAAUGAAGCUUUUUAUCCUUUAAAUGUUUCCCCAACCUGUCUACCUUUAAAGAAUUCAUGUGUCUUCCUUCAACCACAGUUUUAAGUAGGACUGUCAAUCCAAUGUGUGUCUUGUUCAUUUUUGGGUCUACUGUCGGAACACUUUGUAGCUGAAGUGUGUGUGCGCAUGUGCAGCUGCAUGUGCUGUUUUCCUGCCUUUUCCUUUUGUCUGUCAAGCUUCUGGCUGAUAGCAGAUUAGCCAUCUGAAUGUGGGCAGCAAAGAGUAAUGGGCUGUACAGAAUGCCUGGGGCUUCUUGCAUACAAUAAAAUGACUCCAUUAUAAAGCAAAAAAUGACAAGCUUGCCAUGGAAGAUGUCUGUACUGGGGAGAUGGAGAGUAGCCUUUGGUUUAUGAUCAUGUUAAUGGGUGUAAAAUAAACUUAAUUUUUUUUUUAACCAUCAAAAGUAUUCCUAGGUGCUUUACAGAGCAUUGCUGAUGGUUCUAGAAGGAAAAUACUUAUGAGCUAAAUCGCUGAUGUACUACUUGCUAUUCCUGAUUGCUGUAUAUGUGUGGGGGAAGGAAGGGAGUAACAGCAUGAUGGCUCGGUUUCAUUUUCAUCAUGCAGGUGUGUGUGUUUUUUUCCUUUCUUUUCAAUUUUUUUAUCUCUAAUGUUUUGCUUAGUUACAGGAUUACAUAAUCUGCCCUGCAGAACUGUGUUAGGUUUAUGAAAUCUUUUGGAAGAUGUGCUAAUACAGAUUUGAAGGAAAUUGGGCCAGGAACAUGGCUGAGAUGCAGGGAAUCCAGAUGCUGGAGAAGGACAUGAAAUAUAAAGCUGUAGAGAGUUGGAUCAUUGUCAGUAGAAAAAUGAAGCUGUGUGCAGAGGCAUAGUAGCAGGAAAACUAGCAGGGAAUCUUAUCAAGUUUUUUUUGACAGCUCUACUUAGCUGUUUUAAGAAUUUGGUGUUUAAAAAGCCCUCUUGAUUGUCUACAGUUUACCGUGUCAGUAAGCAGUAGUGGCUGCUUGUGCACUUCUAAAUUCCAGUUACAGCUCUCAAGAAGAUUUUUUUGUUUGUUUUUAUGGCAUUCAAGCUCUAAAAGGUGCUCUCCCCUGUAAAAAAAAAAAACAAAACAGAACAGGUGCAGUAUGUUAAUUUAUGCUAAAUGGAAGAUCUUCCUGGUUUGCAUCUGCUCAGGAAAUUAAGACAGCUGAUAUAUAUGAGCUUCCAAGCUAACUGGCAAGUCAGGAUAAAAACAAUUUGAUAUAUAGAAUAUGGGUGUAUUGUUAAAAAAUGGAAAACUUGUCUUAAAAUGCUGAUUAAACAUACCUCUUAACUGA